ACCAUUUGCAUAAGGCUUUGCAUGGCUCUGAGCAGCAGCACUCAGUUUUCCAAAGGAAACAAGAGGGCCACUUGCAUCACUCCCAGUGCGGGGCUGUCUCGGCUGACGCCAGCCCCACUGCCCCGGUGCCUUGGCUGGGACAAGCAUUGCUGCUCUGCACCUGGCCUUGAGCUCUGCCUUCAUAUCUUGGUUACAAAUAGCAGCAUAUUAAUGCUGUCGAGAGGACGGUAUUGUUUGCUCAAGGGUCUGAGGUAAGCUUGUACGCAUGUAAAGAAGUAGCAAGGCGUAGUUUUUAACUGGGAUUAAAUUUAAAUCAUGUGUGGGUGCAAAUUCAAAGUUUUGCAGCGAGUAACACUCUCAUUUUUGAUGUUAAAAACGAUUGGCCUGACUGCAUUAGGGGAGUAAUUUUAAAUAACCUUUCAUAUCUACAAAGAGAAAGUACAGUUCUCUGAGCUCCUCACACAAACAGCAGUGCCUCAUACCAGCUAUAUGAACAGUUGCAGCUCAUGUUCCUCUGGUCCCACAUCUGCCCACGUGGAGCUGCACAGGCAGUUCUCUGAGGCAGCAUUCAAACCAUUUUGAUCGGAAACCUUGGGCUCUAGCAUGCACAGAAGUCAUGCCAGGUUAACCACAACAGUCAGUCGGAGAGAGAGAGCCCAAUCUGUCCUGCUGCUUUUUGCUGCAGAACAGAAUUACAGCAUCACUCGUGGCUGGAAGGGCCCUGGGAAAGACACCUCACCCAAACGGCCGCUGUGACCGGCUCUGUCACCAGCAUGCGCUGAACUGAUGGUGCUGGUGAGUGUGGGGAAGAGGACCUGCCAGCCCUGAAUAACGCAUAUCUUAGACUACGGACUAGAGCCCAGAGGGUGAAAGUCCAAGUAAGUCGGGUUGGUAAUUUCCUGGUCACUGUGGGUGGUUUUUCCAUGACAAAAACAAAUCACGUUUGCACACACGGAAGGCAAAUGUGCACUGCUUGGUGGCAUGCUUCACUGCCCUGUAACAAGAACUUGUUUACAGGGUCUCUCCAAAACAUCUCCCACAUACACCAUGCUGCUCUAAAAUGAGCACAAACAGAGAAAAAAACAGCCUGCUGAGUAUAAGUUUUACGAGUGAGGGAGAGAACUGCUUCAUCUUGUAACUGUUCUUUGAGAUGGGAAAGGAACAAAGAAAGACCAAACUAAUCUCUUGGGCUAAUUGGAAAUUGGCAGACUAAAUUCUGCAAGAUUGUUAAACAGUUGUAACAGAACAGUGAUAUAGCACUGAACACACGCACACAUGCUCAGGUCUGUUUCUCUUACUGUACACUUUAAGACUCCUUGAUUUACUCUGUUCGUGACCCUGAAGACUGAAAUUAGAGUGAUCAGCUAUAAGGUUAAGUGUCUGCCAGUCCCCCGUCUCCCAGCUGAGCCUCAUCAGCAAAUACACUGGAUUUCUCUUCAUUUAUGAAUCCCAGAAGUGAGACUGCCAGUUGCAGGCUGUGAGUGUACGAAACAACUUAUCCCUAAGAUGGUAACAAGACAAACUGGCACCUUUUUUCUAGGAUUAUCUACCUUCAUCAGUCAUAUAUCUUACUUGCAAAAUAAAUUAACAGUUUUCCAUGUCAACUGACUUCUUGUUGCCCAAGCUCAGCUGUGAUCGCAGAGAAACAAUGGAAAUAUUUGCACGCAUAAACACAAGGCACCUAGGCAACAAAAUAGAGGAACCUGACCUACUUGUGCAGGAUGUGAAACCAGCUAUUACAGGGAAGACAGAAACACAAUGGAGCAGCUAAAGUCACUAGAAGACAAAUAUUAGAGGGUAGGAAUUGCUGAAAAGUGGUGGUAUAAGUGCAGAAGUAGUGACUGUCAAUGAAUAUUGUGGAUAUGAGAGUAGAAGUAUUAACUAACAGAAAGUUGAUUUGGUCCAGAUCUUUUGGGGGAAGGAAGUAAAACCUCUGUUGAUAUGGUGUAGAGAACUCGCUAAAGCACUUCUCUCACAACCAUCACAUUACCAAACCUGGAGGUUUUGCCAUAAUAGAACAAUAGAAAUUUAGGAGUAAUUAUUCCUUAAAAUAUAUACAUAGGGUAAAUCUGAGAAGGGAAAAACUGGGGCUAACGGCAUGAACGGUGUUCACUGGCCAGGAAUACACUGUGGCUUGGAAUUAAAAAACUGUUCCUCGCCAUUAGAAGAAGUCAACUCUGGAAGUGCUUCCUAUUGUCAACCUGUUCAUCCCUUCUCCAUCUUCUCAGAUGACAGGACACUUGAGUUGUUAGGGCAGUGCCAUGGACUGGCAGACAGGGAUAGCACAGUAAAGCUUCCUUAGCCACCAUUCCUUUUCCUUCCUCCUCCUUUGCUGCCUCAUAAAUCUGUACCUGAACUCAUCUGUCCAUUUCUGUUACUGGGUUUCUCCUUGUCUUUCACUCCUCAGCCUGAGCAGCCUUUCAUUACUCUUCGGGUUAUAAAUAAUGCAUCACAGAUUUUCACUGCUAGUUCACAGAAUGUUGGAGCUGGUUGGCAGCACCUGCAUUUCCUGUAGUCAGAGUAAUUGCCUGGUUUAUUAAAAAAUAUGCCUGAACUUCACAUUUCAGGAAUGCAAAUCUUGGGAAACAGCUCUGGAGAGAGAGGGAAGCCAAGUCUAUCAGAUAAAAAAUGGCCCCUCAUGCCAGCAUCCCUGUGGCCCCACACACACCCUCCCUUCUCCGUGGCAUUGCAUGUGCUGGUCUGGAUUCUCAGUGUGCCAGUCCAGCUGUAUGUCACGUCCUGAAGGUGAGAAUCCACAGAGGGCAGCUGCAAGAGCCUGACCAUCUCUUUGGGCGAUCAGCAUGGCCUUCCUCGUGCUCCAUGAUCCUCCUCACAGGAAAAAUCUGAGCUGAGGGGGCAGAGUAUCUAGCCUCACAGGUGGGCUGAGGAUUUUUAGCCCGGUAUUUACAUGAUUUUUCACAGUAAAAGUCUUAGCUCAUCUGAAUGGGGUAGAAGGAAUAGUUGGUGAUUAGAAAUCUCCCAUGCUUAGAAGUGUUCUAGAAUAACUGGGGGCUAAGGCAUCAUAAACACAUAUCCCUAGGAGAUUACACAGAUUGAUAAUGGUUAAUCCUUCCCGUCUGGAAGCAGAUAGAUGGCAUUAUACCUAAUAUGGCUCAUUUGCUUGAACAUCCUCUGGAAGUCCUUAAGUCCUUAUGAUACAUAAAAGUUGCCUGUCAGGCUCCACAUCUAUUUGGCAGGACCAUUUCCCACAGCUGAGGUUGGCAAAGGAGUGCUUUCUGUGUCACAGUUACUGAGGGAACCUGAGCAACAGGAAACCUGUGUUUAUCAGCAUUUUUAGCUUGCUUCAUGCAUCACUAAUCGUGGAAAUGGAACACAUCAAAAAAAGAUGAGAGCUCUGCCAUCAGAUUCACCGGAGCUCUAACACGCUGUGAGAUGUUCCUGUGGGAAGUUCCCAUCCACCUCUUUACCUCGCAGAGAUACAGGAGCUUAUCCACCCACAACAGCCACAAAGACAGAACUGUUUUCAAGAUGUAAAUCGUUUCCUGUGUAUUAGAUCCUACUGGAGAUGUCGUUGGUCCAAAGAUUUGAGACUUUGGGGUGUUCCAUCUCUGUUCCAUCUGCAAUCUGAAUAAAUGACUUUGGUUUUCUGUGCA